UUCACAAAAAAUAAAUAUAGAGACUAAAAACGAUAGAAGCAUACAACUAUAAAAUAAAAUAAAACUUAAGGGAGAUUGUGGCAUCAGCUUAUCCCCCUUCUACCUAUGUCCCCGCAUAAGGUGAAGUGUAAUAUGUAUCGUAAAGCAAAGUGUCUACAUAAGGCAAAGAGAUUGAUCUUGAACAUGGAGUGAACAAUUGAAUUCAAGUUCUUUAUGUCGCAAAUUCAUGUGCUUCAAGGAUCAAUUAGACUAAAGCACGACGACAUAAGAAGGAUGGUUAGUGUUGAGAAUCAUUGUCGUUCGAUCGACGCAUUCGAUUCACCCAGAUGAAAUUAUAGAGCAACGACAAUGUGAGAAUCAUUUUCUCUAUAUUUGGUCAGUAUAGUUCGAAGGGAUCGAUCAAGUUAGACGCUAUCUUGAUGAGAUUUGUUCAUUUUAUUCGGGCAAGUUUGAUUCAGCUCAGGACAUACAAAGAAAUCCAGACGUGCAUGGAUGAACCCGAUGAAAAAAAUUAGUUUUGCUCAUCAAUGAUCUUGUUUGGGUUUAAUUAGUUCUCGCAAUUAUUAUUGUUGUUGUAUUACAUUUUUGUAUUUUGCUUUUGAAUUUGCGUUGAGUUAUGUUGUGGUGGAAUUAUGUUGUUGUUGAGGUAGAAUGUGAUUUGAUGACAUAUUUUUUUGUUUUCUGUGUUCUGAUAGAUUCCGGAUUCUGUAAUUUGAAACUUAAAAAUAUUUUUGGAUUAUAGAAUCCAAACGGAAUGAAAUAGAAAUUUU
rnacentral:lncRNA from 1 species